AACGAACGCUGGCGGCAGGCUUAACACAUGCAAGUCGAGCGCCCCGCAAGGGGAGCGGCAGGCGGGUGAGUAACGCGUGGGAACGUACCCUUUGCUACGGAAUAGCUCCGGGAAACUGGAAUUAAUACCGUAUGUGCCCUACGGGGGAAAGAUUUAUCGGCAAAGGAUCGGCCCGCGUUGGAUUAGCUAGUUGGUGGGGUAAUGGCCUACCAAGGCGACGAUCCAUAGCUGGUCUGAGAGGAUGAUCAGCCACAUUGGGACUGAGACACGGCCCAAACUCCUACGGGAGGCAGCAGUGGGGAAUAUUGGACAAUGGGCGCAAGCCUGAUCCAGCCAUGCCGCGUGAGUGAUGAAGGCCUUAGGGUUGUAAAGCUCUUUCACCGGAGAAGAUAAUGACGGUAUCCGGAGAAGAAGCACCGGCUAACUACGUGCCAGCCGCCGCUGUAAGAC
rnacentral:rRNA from 1 species